rnacentral:misc_RNA from 1 species
CUCCCGAAACAAAUGGAUUGUCCCCCCUCGUGCCGCGUGACACGUUGUGCAAACGAAUCAGUGUUACCUCGUGUGCCUCCACGGUAGAUCAAGUGUUCCUGCGAGCUCGUGGUGCGAACAAGUUGCCGCGUUACGCAACUCGUCCGUUCAUUCGCAGCCACGCGGGAAAUUUAUUGGCGAACCAAACCGGCGGAUCGCUUCCUCUCCGUCGUCUCCUGUUCACUGUCCCGCGAUCGUUUUCAGGACGUGCUCGAUACAGUAGUUCUUCCAACAUAAUUGCCGGGCCACAUCGAACUUCGCUCUAGGACGAACAAACGACUACAUCGACAAACCGGCAAGACACGACAGACGCGGCGUGCAAACCAGAGAGAGCGGCGGUAACGCAGGAACCUCACAAAAAUUCUAAAGUGGACAUGCGUGUCAAAGAUUGGCCUGAAGCUGCACACCGAUGACGCAGAGAAAAUUAGUAGAACGGGGAUCCAGGAACAUGACCUUUUACGACGGAACGUAUAAUUUUACGACGCGAUAAAAGAGAUAGGGAGAGAGAGUAGCAGUUAUACUCUUCAUCGAACAGAUGGCCUGCGAGCUUUAUCAGCGCUCGUUCUAUCAGCCCUCCUAUCCAUUGGUUUACCUCGCUGCCA